rnacentral:tRNA from 6 species
GUGGGUAUAGUUUAACAAAAACAUUAGAUUGUGAUUCUAAAGAAAGAAGUUAAAAUCUUCUUAUCCACA